rnacentral:lncRNA from 1 species
ACUAUUUCCAUAGAGCGGGGACCGAGCGAGCCGACGAGCGACCGCGGUAAAGGUAUCGCGCCGUAGAAAGUGACCGCUGAGUUUGGUUUCAUGUUUUGUAGUUGCAUACCCAUAUAUCAUCUUUUGUAUAUGAUGAUUAGAGAUGUAAAGAAAUGAAUGUAAGCUUUCUAUUUUGAAGAAAUGUGAUGUAAAAAGAAAUGAUGAAAAGCAUGUAUGUGAUAAAAGAAUCAUGAAUGUAAAUGUUGAAUGCUUGUAAAUGAUUAAAAGUUAAUCAUUCUACUUGUAUGUUGUAUAGUUUAGUAUUCUUUCAUCUGGCUAUUGCUUACCCUCGUGUAAGCCAUUAUGUAUGUUUCCGCUUGUGCACUUCUCUUUGCUUGAAUUGUACAUGUGUUUAGCCUUGGGCGGACAGGGGAGGCUCUGUCCGUUCGGCGUCUGUCUGACCUUUGCAAAUUGCGAGGUUCGAGUGUUCCGAUGUGUUAUG